UACGAAGGGAGCUAGCGUUGUUCGGAAUUACUGGGCGUAAAGGCGCGUAGGCGGUUUGACAAGUUGGAUGUGAAAGCCCUGGGCUCAACCCGGGAAUUGCAUUCAAGACUGUUUACUUGAAUUCGGUAGAGGUUGGUGGAAUUCCCAGUGUAGAGGUGAAAUUCGAUAGAGAUUGGGAAGAACACCCGUGGCGAAGGCGGCCAACUGGACCGACAUUGACGCUGAGGCGCGAAAGCGUGGGGAUCAAACAGG
rnacentral:rRNA from 1 species